UUGGGACGGCGAUGAUGGAGCAAGGUCGAGCCGUGGCUCGAGACAUCGUCGGCGUCCUGAUCCGUGGAUCAGAAUCGGCGCCUUCUGGUAGCGUCGGCAGUGCAUGCAGUAAUUGCGGGGUAGGUUGGCAGCUCAUGGGUGGGCAAGUACAUUUUGACUUGGCAUUCUUCCCAGGCAGCGAGAAGGUGCGGAGAUCUACUGCGACGUAGAGGAUUGGGAGGUCAUGCAAGCUCGAGGUCAUGGAGUUCUUGAUGCAGCCGAUAAACAGAACACUUCUGGAGGAGGUGAACAAUAACAACAACACGAUGGAAGUUGUGUGUGUGCUGGUGGAUGCCCCGGCGUAUGUUGAGCUUCCGAUGCCGGCGGCUUCAAGUGUGGACGGCCAGAUCUGGCGUCAGGAGCGCAUUGUAGAGGCUGGAAGUGCAGAUACGGGUCAGAGUUCAGAGCAUUCCAUAGAACAGUUGGACCCAAAAUCACCCGGCUGGACACAAAGGGGAAGCCGAUAGUUGAAAAUACACGAUCUUGUCAUUGCGAAUGCCCAGCUCUUCUGAGAUUGUUCCAGACAAAGGACAACAGAUGGUACAUAGGAGAGCACCGUGAUGUGCACAACCAUGCUCUGUCACAAACCUAUGGACAGACGAUUCACUAGCCAUCACACAAGCAUAUAGAUGUGUUGAAGUGCCAUUCAUUGACUUAACAGGGAGCACUCUAGAGCGAGAUGUUGACGCACGGCUUCAGCAACCUGCAUAUCACACUUCAGGCCUAGAAAAUGUGAAAACAGAAUAUAGGUCGGAGAACCUAGUAGGUGGGGGAGCAGACCCAAGAGCACAGGGAGACAUGUUGCCAGCAGCGGUUACAC